GAAGCCCUUCAGAUGGUCGCUGCGGAUCAUGCGUUCGCAGAGGAAAGUCCGGACUCCACAGGGCAGGGUAGUGGGUAACGCCCAUCCAUCGUGAGGUGAGGAUUAGAGCUACAGAGACGAGUCCAUAUCGGGCAACCGGCAUGGGGUGAAACGAGCAAUCUCUACCUGGAGCAAUACCAAAUAGGCAGGCAUUGAGGCGGCCCGCUGAGCCUGCGGGUAGGUAGCUAGAGGCGUGCGGUAACGCGCGUCCCAGAGGAAUGACCGUCAUAGCCCCGCAAGGGGCCGUAACAGAAUCCGGCUUAUCGGGGGGCUUCCACU
rnacentral:RNase_P_RNA from 1 species